AACAGACAGAGAGGGACACUGCAAGAGGCAUGACCAGCGAGGCUUAUAUUGGGAAGAAAAUUGUUGUGAAGGUCGACAAAGCGGCGAAAGAACGGAUAAAAAACUACGUCCAUCGACCAGCUGAAAAAUGUUCUGAUGAAGUGACUGAUGACUUCAAUUCAGAAUCUGAAGCAAGCCUCGACAUCCUGGUCAACGUGGUAUCAAUCCUACCACAGGAAU
rnacentral:lncRNA from 1 species